UGGGGAAUUUUGGACAAUGGACGCAAGUCUGAUCCAGCCAUGCCGCGUGCGGGAAGAAGGCCUUCGGGUUGUAAACCGCCUUUGUCAGGGAAGAAACGAGUUUCUCUAAUACAGAGACUUAAUGACGGUACCUGAAGAAUAAGCACCGGCUAACUACGUGCCAGCAGCCGCGGUAAUACGUAGGGUGCAAGCGUUAAUCGGAAUUACUGGGCGUAAAGCGUGCGCAGGCGGUUAUGUAAGACAGAUGUGAAAUCCCCGGGCUCAACCUGGGACCCGCAUUUGUGACUGCAUAGCUAGAGUACGGCAGAGGGGGAUGGAAUUCCGCGUGUAGCAGUGAAAUGCGUAGAUAUGCGGAGGAACACCGAUGGCGAAGGCAAUCCCCUGGGCCUGUACUGACGCUCAUGCACGAAAGCGUGGGGAGCAAACA
rnacentral:rRNA from 1 species